AACGUAGGUGGCGAGCGUUAUCCGGAUUUACUGGGCGUAAAGGGUGUGCAGGCGGGCGACCAAGUGGUGUAUGAAAUCUCCCAGCUAAACUGGGAUAGGUUAUGCCAGACUGGUGGUCUAGAGUGCGAGAGAGGGGCGUGGAAUUCCGGGUGUAGUGGUGAAAUUCGUAGAUAUCGGGAGGAACACCUGUGGCGAAGGCGGCCAUCUGGACGGUAACUGACGCUGAGACGCGAAAGCGUGGGUAGCAAACAGG
rnacentral:rRNA from 1 species